rnacentral:lncRNA from 1 species
CUCAGGCUCCUCUCUGCAGCACUUCCCCGGGAAGUUGUACAUAUUUUUACGGAGCUGGUUCGCCACCCGGAUCACAGCCGCGGUCCUAGCGGUAAUUGACUGCUCUCUAAUCAAAUUGAUUUCCAUUCCAAUGAGUCCCGCCGUCCUCUCCAUUCCAGGAACGCUGUUCUAGCAGGCGGAGCUCAGUACAAAUGCACCAUCAAACUGCAGAACGCAGAGCGCACCGCGGUCCUCUCUGCCACGCAGUGACAGCUAAAUGGCCUGAGGGCUUAGGCCUAGCCACUCACUGAUGCAUUCCCACUGGGGAGAGGCACACACCCCGGGCUCAUCUGCAUCUGACAGGAGGACUUGGUGCAUAUUCGGAGUGGGUCAGAGUGAUGGGAUUUCUUUCCCAUCGAGUCCCACUGGAGCCUCGCCUGUCCCCACUCUGCUGGGGCUGGCCCGGCCAUUGCCUUCCGUUUCCUGCAGUCCCGGCUUCUCCUCUUGGCUGUGGCCCAGCAUGGAGCUGGCUGGUUCUUCCUCCUGCACACUCCAACCUGGGACUGAAGGCCCCCUGGAGUUUCCACAUGGGCUGACCCCAGAGUCAGCUCUGUCUAGGCUGUUUCUGGGUCUGCUUGGACCACUGCCUCGGGGGCACAAGAAGGAAGGGGGUGGUCCUGAGGCUGUGAUUGUCCAGGGCCCUGUGGUUCCUGGCAUCUGUGUGGAGGGACAGACCCAAAUCCCAUCAGGGCUGGCAGGGACAUUCAUACUCAGCCUACUUCAGGUGGGCGAGGAGAGGGGUGGCCUGCCCAAGGCCCCAGGACCCCUGCUGCCCAGCUCCUGGCCUGGCCCCACCACCUGCACCCUCAGGUGGUACUCCCAGAAGCUGGAGCAACUUAGGGGGGUGCCUUGUGCAGAUGGGGGACCUCCUGGGACUAUCCAGGCCUUCCUGGGUGACCACGCCUGUGGGUGGAGUGAUGGGGUCUCCAGGUGUCUUUUCCUCUGUCCCAUCAGAGGGAGCCUGAGUUUUAAAACCAAUGCAGCACUCCCUCAAAGCUUCACGACUGACCACAGUGGCUCCCAAGCCAGGGACUCUGAUGGGAGGUGACCCCCAUUCCUCCUCCCCUGGGUGGGAGAAGCUGGAGCCCGGUGGGG